GUUGUAUGGUUAAGCGACCAAGCGUAUACGGUGGAUGCCUUGGCAGUCAGAGGCGAUGAAGGACGUAGUAACUUGCGAAAAGCGUUGGUGAGCUAGUAACAAGCAUUUGAGCCAGCGAUGUCCGAAUGGGGAAACCCGGCACCAUAAGGUGUCAUCAAUACGUGAAUACAUAGCGUAUUGAGGCGAACGAGGGGAACUGAAACAUCUAAGUACCCUUAGGAAAAGAAAUCAACCGAGAUUCCCCAAGUAGCGGCGAGCGAACGGGGAUUAGCCCUUAAGUCUUUGGGGUGUUAGUGGAAUGUGUUGGAAAGCACAGCGGCACAGGGUGAUAGCCCCGUACACGUAAACUAACCAGAGAUGAAAUCGAGUAAGGCGGCACACGUGAUAUGUUGUCUGAAUAUGGGGGGACCAUCCUCCAAGGCUAAAUACUCCUGACUGACCGAUAGUGAACCAGUACCGUGAGGGAAAGGCGAAAAGAACCCCUGUGAGGGGAGUGAAAUAGAACCUGAAACCGUAUACGUACAAGCAGUGGAAGCGGUCCUUGAGACCGUGACUGCGUACCUUUUGUAUAAUGGGUCAGCGACUUACAUUUAGUAGCGAGGUUAAGCGAAUAGCGGAGCCGUAGGGAAACCGAGUGUUAACUGCGCGUAUAGUUGCUAGGUGUAGACCCGAAACCCGGUGAUCUAGCCAUGGGCAGGUUGAAGGUUGAGUAACAUCAACUGGAGGACCGAACCGACUAAUGUUGAAAAAUUAGCGGAUGACUUGUGGCUGGGGGUGAAAGGCCAAUCAAACCGGGAGAUAUCUGGUUCUCCUCGAAAGCUAUUUAGGUAGCGCCUCGGACGAACACCUUUGGGGGUAGAGCACUGUUAAGGCUAGGGGGUCAUCCCGACUUACCAACCCUUUGCAAACUCCGAAUACCAAAGAGUGCUAUCCGGGAGACAGACGGCGGGUGCUAACGUCCGUCGUCAAAAGGGAAACAACCCAGACCGUCAGCUAAGGUCCCAAAGUAAUUGCUAAGUGGGAAACGAUGUGGGAAGGCUUAGACAGCUAGGAUGUUGGCUUAGAAGCAGCCAUCAUUUAAAGAAAGCGUAAUAGCUCACUAGUCGAGUCGGCCUGCGCGGAAGAUGUAACGGGGCUAAGCAAUUCACCGAAGCUACGGGUACUGAUGCUUGCAUCAGUGCGGUAGAGGAGCGUUCUGUAAGCCGUUGAAGGCGAAGGGGUAACCCACGCUGGAGGUAUCAGAAGUGCGAAUGCUGACAUGAGUAACGAUAAAGGGGGUGAAAAACCCCCUCGCCGAAAGACCAAGGGUUCCUGUCCAACGUUAAUCGGGGCAGGGUGAGUCGACCCCUAAGGCGAGGCUGAAAGGCGUAGUCGAUGGGAAACGGGUUAAUAUUCCCGUACUUCUGCUAACUGCGAUGGAGAGACGGAGAAGGCUAGGCCGGCGCGGCGUUGGUAGUCCGCGUUUAAGGUAGUAGGUGGUGUGCUUAGGCAAAUCCGGGCACACAUACACUGAGAGCUGACGACGAGUCCCCAANAGCGCGGCGUUGGUUGUCCGCGUUUAAGGUAGUAGGUGGUGUGCUUAGGCAAAUCCGGGCACACAUACACUGAGAGCUGACGACGAGUCCCUACNAGAGAAUACCAAGGCGCUUGAGAGAACUCGGCUGAAGGAACUAGGCAAAAUGGUACCGUAACUUCGGGAGAAGGUACGCUCCUGUUGGUGACGAGACUUGCUCUCUNGGUGGUCGGGUAGAGAAUACCAAGGCGCUUGAGAGAACUCGGCUGAAGGAACUAGGCAAAAUGGUACCGUAACUUCGGGAGAAGGUACGCUGCCGGCGGUGAAGACCUCGCGUCGUAAGCUGCUGGCNAGAGAAUACCAAGGCGCUUGAGAGAACUCGGCUGAAGGAACUAGGCAAAAUGGUACCGUAACUUCGGGAGAAGGUACGCUCCUGUUGGUGAAGAGACUUGCUCUCAGAGCUGACGGGAGUCGCAGAUACCAGGUGGCUGCAACUGUUUAUCAAAAACACAGCACUGUGCAAAAUCGCAAGAUGACGUAUACGGUGUGACGCCUGCCCGGUGCCGGAAGGUUAAUUGAUUGGGUUAUCUUCGGAGAAGCUCAUGAUCGAAGCCCCGGUAAACGGCGGCCGUAACUAUAACGGUCCUAAGGUAGCGAAAUUCCUUGUCGGGUAAGUUCCGACCUGCACGAAUGGCGUAAUGAUGGCCACGCUGUCUCCAGCCGAGACUCAGUGAAGUUGAAAUUGCGGUGAAGAUGCCGUAUACCCGCGGCUAGACGGAAAGACCCCGUGAACCUUUACUAUAGCUUGGCACUGAACAUUGACCCUACAUGUGUAGGAUAGGUGGGAGACUAUGAAGAUGAGACGCCAGUCUUGUUGGAGUCAACCUUGAAAUACCACCCUUGUAGUGUUGAUGUUCUAACCUGGGCCCCUAAUCGGGGUUAGGGACAGUGCCUGGUGGGUAGUUUGACUGGGGCGGUCUCCUCCCAAAGAGUAACGGAGGAGCACGAAGGUUGGCUAAGUACGGUCGGACAUCGUACGGUUAGUGUAAUGGCAUAAGCCAGCUUAACUGCGAGACAGACACGUCGAGCAGGUGCGAAAGCAGGUCAUAGUGAUCCGGUGGUUCUGAAUGGAAGGGCCAUCGCUCAACGGAUAAAAGGUACUCCGGGGAUAACAGGCUGAUACCGCCCAAGAGUUCAUAUCGACGGCGGUGUUUGGCACCUCGAUGUCGGCUCAUCACAUCCUGGGGCUGAAGUCGGUCCCAAGGGUAUGGCUGUUCGCCAUUUAAAGUGGUACGCGAGCUGGGUUCAGAACGUCGUGAGACAGUUCGGUCCCUAUCUGCCGUGGGCGUUGGAUGAUUGAGGGGAGCUGCUCCUAGUACGAGAGGACCGGAGUGGACGAACCGCUGGUGUUCGGGUUGUCAUGCCAAUGGCAUUGCCCGGUAGCUACGUUCGGAAUCGAUAACCGCUGAAAGCAUCUAAGCGGGAAGCGAGCCCCAAGAUGAGUCAUCCCUAGG
rnacentral:rRNA from 1 species